UCCAAGGCUUGAUCCUGCGUUCC
rnacentral:piRNA from 1 species